GACGUAGGGCGCGAGCGUUGUCCGGAUUUAUUGGGCGUAAAGAGCUACGUAGGCGGCUUGUCGCGUCGACUGUGAAAUCUCGCGGCUCAACCGCGGGUCUGCAGUCGAUACGGGCAGGCUAGAGUUCGGUAGGGGAGACUGGAAUUCCUGUGUAGCGGUGAAAUGCGCAGAUAUCAGGAGGAACACCGAUGGCGAAGGCAGGUCUCUGGGCCGAUACUGACGCUGAGGAGCGAAAGCGUGGGGAGCGAACAGG
rnacentral:rRNA from 1 species